rnacentral:rRNA from 1 species
AGAAUUUGAUCUUGGUUCAGACUGAACGCUGACGGCGUGGAUGAGACAUGCAAGUCGAACGAUGAGUGGAGCAAUCCACUCAUAGUGGCGAAAGGGUUAGGAAUGCAUGGGUAACUUGCCUUAAACCUGGGGAUAACGAUUGGAAACGAUCGCUAAUACCGAAUGUGAUGGGGAGCGGAGUCGCUCCUUUAUUAAAGUAGGGGACUUAGAAAUAAGCCUCGCGGUUUAAGAGAGGCCCAUGAAGUAUCAGCUCGUUGGUGAGGUAACGGCUCACCAAGGCUAAGACGCUUAGGCGGAUUGAGAGAUUGACCGCCAACACUGGGACUGAGACACUGCCCAGACUCCUACGGGAGGCAGCAGUCGAGAAUAUUUCGCAAUGGGCGAAAGCCUGACGAAGCGACGCCGUGUGAACGAUGAAGGCCUUCGGGUCGUAAAGUUCUGUCGCCUAUGAACAAGGAUUGUAAGUGAAUAGCUUACGAUUUUGAGUGUAAUAGGAAAGGAAGCACCGGCUAACUCCGUGCCAGCAGCUGCGGUAAUACGGAGGGUGCAAGCGUUAGUCGGAAUUAUUGGGCGUAAAGGGUGCGUAGGCGGGAAAGCAAGUCAGACGUGAAAUUCCGAGGCUUAACCUCGGAGCGGCAUCUGAAACUGCUUUUCUAGCGGAAUGGCGGAGAAAACGGAAUUCCACGUGUAGCGGUGAAAUGCGUAGAUAUGUGGAAGAACACCUGUGGCGAAAGCGGUUUUCUAGCCUACUCCAGACGCUGAGGCACGAAAGCAAGGGGAUCAAACAGGAUUAGAUACCCUGGUAGUCCUUGCCCUAAACCAUGUAUACUUGGCGUAGUUGGACUCAACCCCAACUGUGCCGAAGCUAACGCGAUAAGUAUACCGCCUGGGGAGUACGCUCGCAAGGGUAAAACUCAAAAGAAUUGACGGGGACCCGCACAAGCGGUGGAGC